rnacentral:ncRNA from 1 species
CCCGCGCCUAGCUCGACGGAGCGAAAACCGGAAACCUUUCACCGGCUGGCGUGGAUUUUAUGAGAGG